rnacentral:lncRNA from 1 species
CGCUGAAACUGAAACUGAGGACUGAAAACUGGCGCUGCCGGAAAACAGGAAGACUGUAGCUGCCGGAAAAACACUGUAGCUGCCGGAAAAAUUCAAAGUUGUCGGAAUUGAAAAGUAAAAAUACGGAUAGGCUCGGAAUUCAAGGGUGAGCAAACUGUCCUGAAGAAAUUCUGGCCGGAAAGUACAGUAGCUGCCGGAAAAGUCACUGUAGGUUGCCGGAAAAAAUCAAAGUUGUCGGAAUCGAACAAAAAAUUGAUGGGUAGGGUCGGAAUUAUAUUCCGACUAAACUGUCCUUCUGGAGCGAUCGGAAAAAGUGGCCGGAGAGGCGGGAAAGUACUGUAGCUACCGGAAAAGUCACUGUAGGUUGCCGGAAAAAAAUCAAAGUUGUCGGAAUCGAACAAAAAAUGGAUGGGUAGGGUCGAAAUUAUAUUCUGACUAAACUGUCCUUCUGGAGCAAUCGGAAAAAGUGGCCGGAAAGGCCCUCACGCGCCGGCAAGUGGGCGUCACGCGCCGAGGGUCUUGCCGCGCGUGGGGGCGCGUGAAGCGUCGGUUUCCGGUGAUUUUUUCUGGGGUUGGUCGGAAUUCUCUCCCGAACCUCGUGGUGGUCUCGGAUUUUGCAC